rnacentral:rRNA from 1 species
UCGUAACAAGGUCUCCGUAGGUGAACCUGCGGNNNGAUCAUUACAAGAACGCCCGGGCUUCGGCCUGGUUAUUCAUAACCCUUUGUUGUCCGACUCUGUUGCCUCCGGGGCGACCCUGCCUUCGGGCGGGGGCUCCGGGUGGACACUUCAAACUCUUGCGUAACUUUGCAGUCUGAGUAAACUUAAUUAAUAAAUUAAAACUUUUAACAACGGAUCUCUUGGUUCUGGCAUCGAUGAAGAACGCAGCGAAAUGCGAUAAGUAAUGUGAAUUGCAGAAUUCAGUGAAUCAUCGAAUCUUUGAACGCACAUUGCGCCCCCUGGUAUUCCGGGGGGCAUGCCUGUUCGAGCGUCAUUUCACCACUCAAGCCUCGCUUGGUAUUGGGCAACGCGGUCCGCCGCGUGCCUCAAAUCGUCCGGCUGGGUCUUCUGUCCCCUAAGCGUUGUGGAGACUAUUCGCUAAAGGGUGUUCGGGAGGCUACGCCGUAAAACAACCCCAUUUCUAAGGUUGACCUCGGAUCAGGUAGGGAUACCCGCUGAACUUAAGCAUAUCA